rnacentral:rRNA from 1 species
CAGCCGCCACGGUAAUGCGAGGGGUGCAAGCGUUAUUCGGAUUGAUUGGGUGUAAAGGGUGUGCAGACGGCUUAUUAGGUCACUUGUUAAAUUCUUCGGCCUAACUGAAGGUCUGCAAGUGAUACUGAUGAGCUAGAGGGUGGAAGAGAGAAGUGGAAUUCACGUGUAGCGGUGAAAUGCGUAGAGAUGUGGAGGAACACCAGUGGCGAAGGCGACUCUCUGGUCUGUAACUGACGCUGAGGAGCGAAAGCGUGGGGAGCGAACAGGAUUAGAUACCCCCGUAGUCCCUGUCUCUUAUACA